CACCCAGAGUAACUUCACCUGGAGACACCUCCUUUGUGAUGUCACAGAACGCCUGGGAUCUGCGGUCCACCUGCCGGGGUGAAACCCCAGCUAUGCUGCUCCCCCAACACACACCCCCACCCCAGAUGCUGCAAACGCUGUGAUUAGCGACUCGUGCCUGACCAGGAGCUCAUAGCUGUGCUGCGUAGACAGUCAAGGUUCUGGGAGAAGGCCCAUCAUCAACGAGGCCUGAAGAAUGAUCAACGUUAGGUGGGGAGACGUAGGAGCAGCGUCCCAGGCAGCAAGAAUGACACGUGUAAACACCUGGUGGCACAGGAAGUGUGCUGCAAAUUGAGGGCAAAGAAGGAACACACGUGCUGGUGGGACAGGCUGGGCAGGUCACGGAGCGGGGACAGCACGCCCAAGGGUUCAGGUCUGAUCUGGGGACAGGGGGAGCCGCCAGAGGGGCCUCAGGCUGGAGCAGUGAGAUUAUAGGCAGGUGACUCUUGGUGUCCAGGAGAGGAGGGGGGCAGGGCACAGUGACAACCAGGGAACCAGGUCUGGAGCUGCAGCAUUAAUCCUGGCAGGUGGUGACGGUGGUUGGAGAAAAGGGAGGGUGGUUGGAGAUUCAUUGAGGAGGUAGAAUCGUGGACAGAGUCCACGGUUCUGGAGGCUGGCAGCCCAAGAACAGGGAGCUGGUGUGGUCAGGUUCUAGUGAAAGCCCUCUUCCAGGAUUGCAGAUGCCACCUUCUUGUGCCCUCCCGUGGCGGCUGGAGGAGGAGACAGAGAACUCUUUGCUCUCUCUUCUUAAAAAGGCUACAUUCCUUUAUGCGGCUCAGUAAUAUUCUACUGGACGGAUGGACCAUAUCUACCUAUCAUCACUUGAUGAACACGCAGGUAGUUUUCCCUUGUGGCUGCUGUGAAUAAAGCUGUUACCAACAUCCA